rnacentral:lncRNA from 1 species
GCAUACUGUAGUCUGGAUGCAAAAUUUGGUGGUUCUAGCUUUUAUGGUCUCUGAGAUCCAGGCGCUCAACAAGACGGACGGACAGACAGACAGACAUGGCUAUAUCGACUCGGGUAUUGAUGAUGAUCAAGAAUAUAUAUACUUUGCGGGGUUGGAAAUGUUUCCUUCUCUGCGUUACAUAAAUCCACUUUGUGCACAAAUACAAUAUACCCUAUUUACUCUUCGAGUACCGGGUAUAAAAACACUGGGGUUACUCUAGACACACAUACGUAAUACUGAUCACGAUACUGAGUACUGGUUAUUCGUAAGCUCAGAUUUUCUUAUUUGUAGUUUUU